GACGAACGCUGGCGGCGUGCCUAAUACAUGCAAGUAGAACGCUGAAGGAGGAGCUUGCUUCUCUGGAUGAGUUGCGAACGGGUGAGUAACGCGUAGGUAACCUGCCUGGUAGCGGGGGAUAACUAUUGGAAACGAUAGCUAAUACCGCAUAAGAGUAGAUGUCGCAUGACAUUUGCUUAGAAGGUGCAAUUGCAUCACUACCAGAUGGACCUGCGUUGUAUUAGCUAGUUGGUGAGGUAACGGCUCACCAAGGCAACGAUACAUAGCCGACCUGAGAGGGGGAUCGGCCACACUGGGACUGAGACACGGCCCAGACUCCUACGGGAGGCAGCAGUAGGGAAUCUUCGGCAAUGGACGGAAGUCUGACCGAGCAACGCCGCGUGAGUGAAGAAGGUUUUCGGAUCGUAAAGCUCUGUUGUAAGAGAAGAACGAGUGUGAGAGUGGAAAGUUCACACUGUGACGGUAUCUUACCAGAAAGGGACGGCUAACUACGUG
rnacentral:rRNA from 1 species